AUUCCCCUAGUAACUGCGAGUGAAGCGGGAAAAGCUCAAAUUUAAAAUCUGGUGGCCUUUGGUCGCUCGAGUUGUAAUUUAGAGAAGCGUCUUCCGCGCUGGACCGUGCACAAGUCUCCUGGAAUGGAGCGUCAUAGAGGGUGAGAAUCCCGUCUUUGGUACGGAUGCACCAGGGCUUUCGUGAUGCGCUCUCGAAGAGUCGAGUUGUUUGGGAAUGCAGCUCAAAAUGGGUGGUGAACUCCAUCUAAAGCUAAAUAUUGGCGAGAGACCGAUAGCGAACAAGUACCGUGAGGGAAAGAUGAAAAGCACUUUGGAAAGAGAGUGAAACAGUACGUGAAAUUGUUGAAAGGGAAACGCUUGAAGUCAGUCGCGUCGACCGAGACUCAGCCUUGGCUUGGCUUGGCGUACUUCUCGGCCGACGGGUCAGCAUCGAUUUUGGCCUUCGGAUAAUGGCAGGGGAAAGGUAGCACCUUUACGGGUGUGUUAUAGUCUCCCGUCGCAUGCGAGGUCCAGGAUUGAGGAACUCAGCACGCGCCUUUUGGCGUCGGGGCCUUGGCCCACGCUACGUGCUUAGGAUGCUGGCGUAAUGGCUUUAAACGACCCGUCUUGAAACACGGACCAAGGAGUCUAACAUGCCCGCGAGUGUUCGGGUGGAAAACCCGUGCGCGUAAUGAAAGUGAAAGUUGGGACCCCUGUCGUGGGGGGCACCGACGCCCGGACCAGACCUUCUGCGACGGAUCUGCGGUAGAGCGUGCAUGUUGGGACCCGAAAGAUGGUGAACUAUGCCUGAAUAGGGUGAAGCCAGAGGAAACUCUGGUGGAGGCUCGUAGCGAUUCUGACGUGCAAAUCGAUCGUCAAAUUUGGGUAUA
rnacentral:rRNA from 1 species